GGGACACGUGGUAUCCUGUCUGAAUAUGGGGGGACCAUCCUCCAAGGCUAAAUACUCCUGACUGACCGAUAGUGAACCAGUACCGUGAGGGAAAGGCGAAAAGAACCCCGGCGAGGGGAGUGAAAAAGAACCUGAAACCGUGUACGUACAAGCAGUGGGAGCACCUUCGGGUGUGACUGCGUACCUUUUGUAUAAUGGGUCAGCGACUUAUAUUCUGUAGCAAGGUUAACCGUAUAGGGGAGCCGCAGGGAAACCGAGUCUUAACUGGGCGUUAAGUUGCAGGGUAUAGACCCGAAACCCGGUGAUCUAGCCAUGGGCAGGUUGAAGGUUGGGUAACACUAACUGGAGGACCGAACCGACUAAUGUUGAAAAAUUAGCGGAUGACUUGUGGCUGGGGGUGAAAGGCCAAUCAAACCGGGAGAUAGCUGGUUCUCCCCGAAAGCUAUUUAGGUAGCGCCUCGUGAACUCAUCUUCGGGGGUAGAGCACUGUUUCGGCUAGGGGGUCAUCCCGACUUACCAACCCGAUGCAAACUACGAAUACCGAAGAAUGUUAUCACGGGAGACACACGGCGGGUGCUAACGUCCGUCGUGAAGAGGGAAACAACCCAGACCGCCAGCUAAGGUCCCAAAGUCAUGGUUAAGUGGGAAACGAUGUGGGAAGGCACAGACAGCCAGGAUGUUGGCUUAGAAGCAGCCAUCAUUUAAAGAAAGCGUAAUAGCUCACUGGUCGAGUCGGCCUGCGCGGAAGAUGUAACGGGGCUAAACCAUGCACCGAAGCUGCGGCAGCGACACUAUGUGUUGUUGGGUAGGGGAGCGUUCUGUAAGCCUGCGAAGGUGACCUGUGAGGGUUGCUGGAGGUAUCAGAAGUGCGAAUGCUGACAUAAGUAACGAUAAAGCGGGUGAAAAGCCCGCUCGCCGGAAGACCAAGGGUUCCUGUCCAACGUUAAUCGGGGCAGGGUGAGUCGACCCCUAAGGCGAGGCCGAAAGGCGUAGUCGAUGGGAAACAGGUUAAUAUUCCUGUACUUGGUGUUACUGCGAAGGGGGGACGGAGAAGGCUAUGUUAGCCGGGCGACGGUUGUCCCGGUUUAAGCAUGUAGGCUGGUUAUCCAGGCAAAUCCGGAUAAUCAAGGCUGAGGUGUGAUGACAAGGCACUACGGUGCUGAAGUAACAAAUGCCCUGCUUCCAGGAAAAGCCUCUAAGCAUCAGGUAACAUCAAAUCGUACCCCAAACCGACACAGGUGGUCAGGUAGAGAAUACCAAGGCGCUUGAGAGAACUCGGGUGAAGGAACUAGGCAAAAUGGUGCCGUAACUUCGGGAGAAGGCACGCUGGUGUGUAGGUGAAGCCCCUGCGGGUGGAGCUGAGACCAGUCGAAGAUACCAGCUGGCUGCAACUGUUUAUUAAAAACACAGCACUGUGCAAACACGAAAGUGGACGUAUACGGUGUGACGCCUGCCCGGUGCCGGAAGGUUAAUUGAUGGGGUUAUCCGUAAGGAG
rnacentral:rRNA from 1 species